GACGAACGCUGGCGGCGUGCUUAACACAUGCAAGUCGAACGGAAAGGCCUCUUUCGGGGGGUACUCGCGUGGCGAACGGGUGAGUAACACGUGAGUAUCCUGCCCUUGACUUUGGGAUAACUUCUGGAAACUGGGGCUCAUACCGGAUAGGAGCUCCUGCUGCAUGGUGGGGGUUGGAGAGUUUCGGCGGGUUGGGAUGGACUCGCGGCUUAUCAGCUUGUUGGGGGGGUGGUGGCUUACCAAGGCUUUGACGGGUAGGCGGCCUGGGAGGGUGACCGGCCAAAAUGGGGCUUGAGUACGGCCCAGACUCCUACGGGGAGGAAGAGGGGGGAAAAAUGCAAAAAUGGGGGAAGCCCUAAGCAGCAACGCCGGGGGCGGGAAGACGGGCUUCGGGUUGGAAACCGCUUUCGCUCAGGACGAAGCUGUGUGUGACGGUAGUGGGUAAAGAAGCACCGGCUAACUACGUG
rnacentral:rRNA from 1 species